GGAAAGGCGCGCGAUACAGGGUGACAGCCCCGUACACAAAAAUGCACAUGCUGUGAGCUCGAUGAGUAGGGCGGGACACGUGGUAUCCUGUCUGAAUAUGGGGGGACCAUCCUCCAAGGCUAAAUACUCCUGACUGACCGAUAGUGAACCAGUACCGUGAGGGAAAGGCGAAAAGAACCCCGGCGAGGGGAGUGAAAAAGAACCUGAAACCGUGUACGUACAAGCAGUGGGAGCACGCUUAGGCGUGUGACUGCGUACCUUUUGUAUAAUGGGUCAGCGACUUAUAUUCUGUAGCAAGGUUAACCGAAUAGGGGAGCCGAAGGGAAACCGAGUCUUAACUGGGCGUUAAGUUGCAGGGUAUAGACCCGAAACCCGGUGAUCUAGCCAUGGGCAGGUUGAAGGUUGGGUAACACUAACUGGAGGACCGAACCGACUAAUGUUGAAAAAUUAGCGGAUGACUUGUGGCUGGGGGUGAAAGGCCAAUCAAACCGGGAGAUAGCUGGUUCUCCCCGAAAGCUAUUUAGGUAGCGCCUCGUGAAUUCAUCUCCGGGGGUAGAGCACUGUUUCGGCAAGGGGGUCAUCCCGACUUACCAACCCGAUGCAAACUGCGAAUACCGGAGAAUGUUAUCACGGGAGACACACGGCGGGUGCUAACGUCCGUCGUGAAGAGGGAAACAACCCAGACCGCCAGCUAAGGUCCCAAAGUCAUGGUUAAGUGGGAAACGAUGUGGGAAGGCCCAGACAGCCAGGAUGUUGGCUUAGAAGCAGCCAUCAUUUAAAGAAAGCGUAAUAGCUCACUGGUCGAGUCGGCCUGCGCGGAAGAUGUAACGGGGCUAAACCAUGCACCGAAGCUGCGGCAGCGACGCUGAUGCGUUGUUGGGUAGGGGAGCGUUCUGUAAGCCUGCGAAGGUGUGCUGUGAGGCAUGCUGGAGGUAUCAGAAGUGCGAAUGCUGACAUAAGUAACGAUAAAGCGGGUGAAAAGCCCGCUCGCCGGAAGACCAAGGGUUCCUGUCCAACGUUAAUCGGGGCAGGGUGAGUCGACCCCUAAGGCGAG
rnacentral:rRNA from 1 species